AAAUUUGGACCGUUCAUCGCGAUUUGAUCUGGACCGUUUGAUCACAUUUAAAUAGGAAGUGAAUCUGAACCGUUCAUCGCGAUUUGAUCUGGACCGUCCGAUAGCGUUUAAAGGGGGAACAUAUUCGAAUCGUCCGUGCACGUGGAAACAAAUUCGGACCGUCCGAUCGUGGGCACGCGAAUCGCCAGUGUAGUCUCCCGCGUGGCAUCACGUCAGCGUAACUUGCCACGCA
rnacentral:lncRNA from 1 species